rnacentral:sRNA from 1 species
CAUAGAAAUGAAUCUCUUCUAUCAAGAUGAAAACUACAAAUGACUGUUUCCAUGAAAGUGAGAAUAAAG